CACGGCAACUCCAUCCAGACAGCAACGCCCAGGAGGCGGACACUAAGGAUGUUAUCUACCUGGUCUCAAGAAUUCUGCGUCAUGGAAACCAGAAUGUGAGGCAAAGAGUUAAAGUUUGAGGGAGAAGCGGGUGGCUGGUGUUGGAGAAGGACUAAGGACCAUGAUAUCUCUUUCCCGUCCCUGUUUACUACGGGUAAUUGUAACAUGCAACACAGUGAUUGGAGUGGUUGAAGCUGAACAUAAUGAAACAUUGUAUUCUUUUGGACAUAUUUUUGCAAGAGAAUAGUUGGUUCAACACACUGAAGCGCCCUUCUUUCUUCUUGUUGUUUUGGGAAGAUUGCUGUCGAACAGGCUCAGGCGGCGGUGGCAGCUGCUGCUUCUGGAGGACUAGAUCUGAUGGGAACGACUGAGCUGACUGAACAAAUCCACACAAUGUCUGGACUGAAGGUGCUCCUUCUAGUCAGGGUUAUCAGUCCAUUGAGAUUUGUGAAACAUCAAUGGCAGCCCGUAUGAUAUCAAUAUCCUCUAUGGAUUCCAAAUCAGAUGAAGUACAGACCCCUACUGGUGGAUGCAAGACCUUUCAGAGUGUUGGACUCAAGAUCAUCCUUUGCUUCAUCGGGGAGAUCUGGCACUAUUUGAAUACCCUGAUUAUUUGGAUAACUGACAAGGAAUAAAACCCUUUCAAAAUGGA